UAGGGAAUCUUCCACAAUGGGCGCAAGCCUGAUGGAGCAACACCGCGUGAGUGAAGAAGGGUUUCGGCUCGUAAAGCUCUGUUGUUAAAGAAGAACACGUAUGAGAGUAACUGUUCAUACGUUGACGGUAUUUAACCAGAAAGUCACGGCUAACUACGUGCCAGCAGCCGCGGUAAUACGUAGGUGGCAAGCGUUAUCCGGAUUUAUUGGGCGUAAAGAGAGUGCAGGCGGUUUUCUAAGUCUGAUGUGAAAGCCUUCGGCUUAACCGGAGAAGUGCAUCGGAAACUGGAUAACUUGAGUGCAGAAGAGGGUAGUGGAACUCCAUGUGUAGCGGUAGAAUGCGUAGAUAUAUGGAAGAACACCAGUGGCGAAGGCGGCUACCUGGUCUGCAACUGACGCUGAGACUCGAAAGCAUGGGUAGCGAACAGGAUUAGAUACCCUGGUAGUCCAUGCCGUAAACGAUGAGUGCUAGGUGUUGGAGGGUUUCCGCCCUUCAGUGCCGGAGCUAACGCAUUAAGCACUCCGCCUGGGGAGUACGACCGCAAGGUUG
rnacentral:rRNA from 1 species